rnacentral:rRNA from 1 species
CGGGGUGCAGCAGGCGCGAAAACUUUACAAUGCCGGCAACGGCGAUAAGGGGACCUCGAGUGCCAGGUUACAAAUCUGGCUGUCGUGAUGCCUAAAAAGCAUUGCAUAGCAAGGGCCGGGCAAGACCGUUGCCAGCCGCCGCGGUAACACCGGCGGCUCGAGUGGUAACCGUUAUUAUUGGGUCUAAAGGGUCUGUAGCCGGCCGGAUAAGUCUCUUGGGAAAUCUGGCAGCUUAACUGUCAGGCUUUCAGGAGAUACUGUCUGGCUCGAGGCCGGGAGAGGUGAGAGGUACUUCAGGGGUAGGGGUGAAAUCUUGUAAUCCUUGAAGGACCACCAGUGGCGAAGGCGUCUCACCAGAACGGACCUGACGGCAAGGGACGAAAGCUAGGGGCACGAACCGGAUUAGAUACCCGGGUAGUCCUAGCCGUAAACGAUACUCGCUAGGUGUCGGCCACGGUGCGACCGUGGUCGGUGCCGUAGGGAAGCCGUGAAGCGAGCCACCUGGGAAGUACGGCCGCAAGGCUGAAACUUAAAGGAAUGGC